rnacentral:rRNA from 1 species
GCAAGUCGAACGAAGUUACACAGAGGAAGUUUUCGGAUGGAAUCAGUAUAACUUAGUGGCGGACGGGUGAGUAACGCGUGGGAAACCUGCCCUGUACCGGGGGAUAACACUUAGAAAUAGGUGCUAAUACCGCAUAAGCGCACGGAACUGCAUGGUUCUGUGUGAAAAACUCCGGUGGUACAGGAUGGUCCCGCGUCUGAUUAGCCAGUUGGCAGGGUAACGGCCUACCAAAGCGACGAUCAGUAGCCGGCCUGAGAGGGUGAACGGCCACAUUGGGACUGAGACACGGCCCAAACUCCUACGGGAGGCAGCAGUGGGGAAUAUUGCACAAUGGGGGAAACCCUGAUGCAGCGACGCCGCGUGAGUGAAGAAGUAUUUCGGUAUGUAAAGCUCUAUCAGCAGGGAAGAAAAUGACGGUACCUGACUAAGAAGCCCCGGCUAACUACGUGCCAGCAGCCGCGGUAAUACGUAGGGGGCAAGCGUUAUCCGGAUUUACUGGGUGUAAAGGGAGCGUAGACGGCAUGGCAAGCCAGAUGUGAAAACCCAGGGCUCAACCUUGGGAUUGCAUUUGGAACUGCCGGGCUGGAGUGCAGGAGAGGUAAGCGGAAUUCCUAGUGUAGCGGUGAAAUGCGUAGAUAUUAGGAGGAACACCAGUGGCGAAGGCGGCUUACUGGACUGUAAC